UUAAUUGAAACCAAAAAGAGGUGUAUUAUUGUUAAUAAUAUCAUUGAAUUAUAAAUUCCAAUUAAG
rnacentral:tRNA from 1 species